GUACCUGGACGUGGAGGUGGUGACUGCAGCAGCGGUUCCGGAAGUUCUGUGGCCGGCGGAGGCGGAUGUGGCGUCAUCGGUGGGGUCUCCGGCCGUGUCCUCAAGCUCUGAGAGGAUUGCGGUAACACCUUUCUUCACCAAAGGACAUUUCAAAGUGCUUCACAGCCAUUGAAGUAUGGUCAUUGCUGUAAUCGCGUAAAUGCAGCAACUCUGCUCAUCAAGCGCUCCACGAAAAUGAUAAAUCACCCUUAAGUAUCUGCAACGUCUGAAGUUGCCGUAUUUGCACGUCAAUUCCCCAUUAACUUCGCUACAGAAUUCACAGGUUAAUAUCUAUAAAGAUCUUCGGGAAUUGUCAUGAAAUUGGCUGAGUUUUGGAAAUGACGCUGACUUACUCCUGCAAUUUAGAAGCAUAAAACAUGGCUUUGAAUUAGGGAGAAACUAAAAAGAUUUGAUGGGAAGGCCAUUGACCAAAUGACAGUGCUGAAGCCAGGUCUGCAGGAGCUCAAGCAAAAUUGCUGAAAAAUCACUUGACUAGACAGGACACCCUGUCUGGAUGGUCACCAAGCAUCCUCCGCACCAGCUGCUGAACUCUCAUUUCUCAACUGGCCAAUGUUCCAUGGGAGGAGCUUAAACAUUGUUAUCUGGGAGGAAUCAUUCUGAAUGGCAACAACUUCUCAAGUUGCAUCAUUUUUUGAAUCACAACAUCUUAAUGACAAGGUCAUGCUGUGGCAAAACAAAAGGAACCAAUUCUUGUGUUCCAGAUCCCAUGGCCUUGUGGGACAUCCUACCCCAUGGGCCCAAACAUUUGUCAACUGAGAGUUAGCCUUUUCUAUCAUAUAUAGAUCCAUGGGUAGAAACUUUCUUAGACUGAAGAACAGCCAAUGGCAAAUAAGUGAUUUAUAAAUCACAAUAAACAAAAGCAUAUCUUGUUUUAUUUUAUAUGAAGUGGACCUUGUGAAACAAGCCUGAUGGUGCAUGUUAAUAAUGCAAUCAUAACCAUAAAUGUUGUGUUAACAUCUUAUGAUACAAUUGAUGAUUGCAAAAUGUUGACUGUCAUUCAUGACGCCUUAGGCGCUAAAGCAGUCCAUGUUCAAGUGCAGCAAGACCUGGACAAACCUAGACUUCAGUUGACAAAUGGAAUGUAAUGAUGCACCACAUAAGUGACAGGCAAAGACAAUCUCCAACAAGAGAAAAUCUAACCAUCACUGUUGAUAUUCAGUGGUAAAUUACCAACUAUCAUCAUCCUUGGUGUCAUCAUGACCAGGAAAUGAACUAGACGAGCCAAAUGAAUGUUGUGGUUGCAGGAGCAGAUCAGAGACGAGGAAACCUGGAAUUUAUACCUCACUUAAUAACCCUCCAAACCCUGACCAUCAUCUACAAGGCCUAAUUCAGAAGUGUGAUGGAAUAAUCUCUAUUCCUGGAUGGUGAAGUUCCUGCAAAGUUCAGUUAGUGUGAAACCAUCCAGAACAAGGCAAUCUGAGUGGUUGGCACAACUUCGACAAAAGUUCAAUCCAUCCAUCAUUAAUGCUUAGCAGCAGCAUGUAUGAUCUAUAAGAUAUGCUCCUUAAAUUCACUAAGGCUCUUAGACAGCACCUUCCAGACACACAAUCACUUCCAUAAAGAAGGACAAGGGCAGGUCAUACAUGGAAUACCACUACUUGCAAUAUCCCCUCCAAGUCAUUGGCCAUUCUGAAUGAGAAAUAUAGCACUGUUCUUUUAGUAUUGCUGGGUCCAAAUCCUGGAACUCCGUCUCUCGUGGCAUUGUGUGUCUAUGUAAAGUACGUAAGAAGUUCAAGAAGGCAGCUCACCACCACUUUCUCAAGUGCAACGAGCGAUGGAUAAUAAAGGCUGGCCCAGUCACAAAGCACAGAUCCCAUGAAUUUAUUUUAAAAGACGUCUGUCUUUUUCCUAUACCACUCAAAUAAUCUGAUUUCUUACUGUUUCAUACCAUGGAAAUAUGAGAAAAAGAUGAAAGUUUUAUGCAUCAUUUUUCUUGUACACUCCAUCAAAUUCUGUGCAACUCCUGUUGGAGAGGGUGAGCAAUGAUUACUUUGGUAAAUGCACAUUAUAACAAUUAUAGUAUUAAUAGCAGAUCAUUAUGCUUACAGUCAUUUUCAGAAUUAUUAAUUUGUUUUUCUUGAAUGCACUUUUAAUCGCAAUAAUUAUUUAG